AUGGAGUCCUCGCCGACGCCCGCGUCAGCAAUGCCGGCGCCGUCCCCCGCUUCGUCGUCGCGAUCGAGGGACAAUCGCCUCCUCGUCGGCUUCGACCUCCCGGCCUCCUGGGGGUACCGCCGGCCCAUGGCCUUCUGCAAGGACCCCGAGUCCAGCCCCCCUGCGGCGGCGGCGGCGGCGGGCGACGAGGCGCUGCGCAACAGCUCCCGAUCCCCGCCGAAAGCCGCCCCCGUGGCGGCGCCGGGGGAGGCUAAGCACGCCCCUCCGGCCGACGAGGGCGCCGCGGCGGAGGAAUCUGCCCGGAAGCAGUACUACCAGCUGAGGGACCGGAGGGGCGGCCGGGACGGCGCGGAGGACGCGCAGGAGCACAGGAAGCUCUGGAACAUGGACGGCGGCGGCUCCUCCUCCGGCGGCAGGAUUAGCGCCGGGUUCUCGGUGGAGCUCACCAAGCAGGAGAUCGAGGCGGACUUCCUCGCGAUGACCGGCAAGAAGCCGCCGCGCCGGUACAAGAGGCGGCCCAAGGCCGUCCAGCGCCAAAUCAACUCCAUCUCCCCCGGCGAGUUUCUCUCGGAGGUGAACCGCGAUCGCUACAAGGUGAACGAGAAAGGGGGAUUCUGA
rnacentral:rRNA from 1 species